UCCCGACUCGGCAGGCUGGUUCUGGUU
rnacentral:sRNA from 1 species